rnacentral:rRNA from 1 species
AGAGUUUGAUCAUGGCUCAGGACGAACGCUGGCGGCGUGCCUAACACAUGCAAGUCGAACGGACGAGGCCCCUUCGGGGACCGAGUUAGUGGCGGACGGGUGAGUAACGCGUGAGCAACCUGCCUUUCAGAGGGGGACAACAGUUGGAAACGACUGCUAAUACCGCAUGAUGCAGCGAGAUCGCAUGGUCUUGCUGUCAAAGAUUUAUCGCUGAAAGAUGGGCUCGCGUCUGAUUAGCUAGUUGGAGGGGUAACGGCCCACCAAGGCGACGAUCAGUAGCCGGACUGAGAGGUUGAACGGCCACAUUGGGACUGAGAUACGGCCCAGACUCCUACGGGAGGCAGCAGUGGGGAAUAUUGGGCAAUGGGGGAAACCCUGACCCAGCAACGCCGCGUGAAGGAAGAAGGCUUUCGGGUUGUAAACUUCUUUUACCAGGGACGAAGAACGUGACGGUACCUGGAGAAAAAGCCACGGCUAACUACGUGCCAGCAGCCGCGGUAAUACGUAGGGGCAAGCGUUGUCCGGAUUUACUGGGUGUAAAGGGCGUGUAGGCGGAGCUGCAAGUCAGAUGUGAAAUCUGGGGGCUUAACCCUCAAACUGCAUUUGAAACUGUAGCCCUUGAGUAUCGGAGAGGCAGGCGGAAUUCCUAGUGUAGCGGUGAAAUGCGUAGAUAUUAGGAAGAACACCAGUGGCGAAGGCGGCCUGCUGGACGACAACUGACGCUGAGGCGCGAAAGCGUGGGGAGCAAACAGGAUUAGAUACCCUGGUAGUCCACGCUGUAAACGAUGAAUACUAGGUGUGGGGGGACUGACCCCCUCCGUGCCGGAGUUAACACAAUAAGUAUUCCACCUGGGGAGUACGACCGCAAGGUUGAAACUCAAAGGAAUUGACGGGGGCCCGCACAAGCAGUGGAUUAUGUGGUUUAAUUCGACGCAACGCGAAGAACCUUACCGGGAUUUGACAUCCUACUAACGAAGCAGAGAUGCAUUAGGUGCCCUUCGGGGAAAGUAGAGACAGGUGGUGCAUGGUUGUCGUCAGCUCGUGUCGUGAGAUGUUGGGUUAAGUCCCGCAACGAGCGCAACCCCUAUUGUUAGUUGCUACGCAAGAGCACUCUAGCGAGACUGCCGUUGACAAAACAGAGGAAGGCGGGGACGACGUCAAAUCAUCAUGCCCCUUAUGUCCCGGGCUACACACGUAAUACAAUGGCGGUCAACAAAGGGAAGCAAAGCCGCGAGGCAGAGCAAACCCCCAAAAGCCGUCUCAGUUCGGAUUGCAGGCUGCAACUCGCCUGCAUGAAGCUGGAAUUGCUAGUAAUCGUGGAUCAGAAUGCCACGGUGAAUACGUUCCCGGGCCUUGUACACACCGCCCGUCACACCAUGAGAGUCGGGAACACCCGAAGUCCGUAGUCUAACCCGCAAGGGAGGGCGCGGCCGAAGGUGGGUCUGAUAAUUGGGGUGAAGUCGUAACAAGGUA